rnacentral:rRNA from 1 species
AACGAACGCUGGCGGUAUGCUUAACACAUGCAAGUCGAACGAACAAAAAUGGGGCUUGUUCCAAUUUUAGUGAGUGGCAAACGGGUGAGUAACACGUGGGAAUCUACCUAUCAGUACGGAAUAACAUUUGGAAACAGAUGCUAAUACCGUAUAUUCUCCAAGGAGGAAAGAUUUAUCGCUGAUAGAUGAGCCCGCGUAAGAUUAGGUAGUUGGUAGGGUAAUGGCCUACCAAGCCGACGAUCUUUAGCUGGUCUGAGAGGAUGAUCAGCCACACUGGGACUGAGACACGGCCCAGACUCCUACGGGAGGCAGCAGUGGGGAAUAUUGGACAAUGGGCGAAAGCCUGGUCCAGCAAUACCGCGUGAAUGAUGAAGGCCUUAGGGUUGUAAAGUUCUUUUAGUUGGAAAGAUAAUGACGGUACCAACAGAAAAAGCCCCGGCUAACUCCGUGCCAGCCGCCGCAGUAA